rnacentral:rRNA from 1 species
CACAAUGACUCUCGGCAACGGAUAUCUCGGCUCUUGCAUCGAUGAAGAACGUAGCGAAAUGCGAUACUUGGUGUGAAUUGCAGAAUCCCGUGAACCAUCGAGUCUUUGAACGCAAGUUGCGCCCAAAGCCAUUAGGCCGAGGGCACGCCUGCCUGGGUGUCACA